UGUGUACCUGACGUUAGCCGCCGCUGCUACUACCUGCCGCCGAGCUAAAUGUCAAAGUCUUUGACUGUGCCAAGUCAGUCAGUUGAUGUGUGCCCUCGUAGUCAGUUCGAUAAAUUCUAUAUUUGUAUAUAUACAUAUAUAAAUCCAUAAUUAGUUUAUUAUAUACUUGUGCAUAUGUAUAUAUAUUUAUGUAUAUAUAUAUAUGCGCUUAUACAGUGGUGUACAUGUGUAACGUUAGAGACGCGUGUAUAUAUGUGUGAAUUAUAUGUAUAUAUAUAGAUACAUCUAUGUAUAUUUUGUAUCCAAUACCUCAAGACAUCCAAUUCAAUCAAAAGUCAGUCCAGAAGACGAGCACACACACACACACCCACACUAACACAUCUGUGUCUGUUUGUGUAUAUGUGAGUGUCUAAGGUGAACGCGGAAGUGCUUCAAGCUGCUUGCAUUUCACGCUGCACUGGCGCACCGUCUCGAUUUAGAUAUAUAUCUCGUAGAUAUAUUGCCAGCUCCAUAUACAUGAAUGUAUAGCAACAAACAUCCAUAAUACCCAAUUAUAUAUGUAUAUACAUAUAUAUAAAUAUAUAUUUUGUACGAUUCGGCAAUACCAAAGUUUAACAUAAAUAGAACAAGAGGAAUAAUAAUAAUAAUAAUAAUAAGAAGAAGAAGAAGAAGCAGCAACAAUAACGGCGGCUGCAUCAGAAUCAAGAAAUAGCUAAAGACGACGAGCUUAGGAAUAUAAUUUUUUGUUGUGGAAAUAUUCGGCAUUUUGUUGUUGCAAUUGGUUAAAAAGCAGAAGGAGAGAAA